GAUGAACGCUGGCGGCGUGCCUAAUACAUGCAAGUCGAGCGAACGGACGAGAAGCUUGCUUCUCUGAUGUUAGCGGCGGACGGGUGAGUAACACGUGGAUAACCUACCUAUAAGACUGGGAUAACUUCGGGAAACCGGAGCUAAUACCGGAUAAUAUUUUGAACCGCAUGGUUCAAAAGUGAAAGACGGUCUUGCUGUCACUUAUAGAUGGAUCCGCGCUGCAUUAGCUAGUUGGUAAGGUAACGGCUUACCAAGGCAACGAUGCAUAGCCGACCUGAGAGGGUGAACGGCCACACAGGAACUGAGACACGGUCCAGACUCCUACGGGAGGCAGCAGUAGGGAAUCUUCCGCAAUGGGCGAAAGCCUGACGGAGCAACGCCGCGUGAGUGAUGAAGGUCUGCGGAUCGUAAAACUCUGUUAUUAGGGAAGAACAUAUGUGUAAGUAACUGUGCACAUCGUGACGGUACCUAAUCAGAAAGCCACGGCUAACUACGUG
rnacentral:rRNA from 1 species